UGAUAAAAAUACUUGAACAAGCAAAAAGAUUGAAACUUUAUGCAAAAUGGACCAAGAAUUGCAUAGAAAUUUAGUUAGUGGAAAUGGUGGGUUUGAACCAAGAUACUUUAGAGGUUUAAGUACCCCUUUUUCAUUUUCUUUAACAAGAUUGGCCUCUUGUUUCAAUCUUCACAAUCAAAGUUUUGAUGAUUAUGGUGAUGGGGUUUCUUAUUGUGAUUAUGGGUAUUCAAG
rnacentral:misc_RNA from 1 species